AUGUCACGUUCUCUUAUUCUUUUGUUCUUUUUAAAAAAUCCCACGGUCUCUCUUUCUUUUCAUAAACAACAACAAACUUGUUUUAUUAAAAGCCCAGACAAGAUAAAAACAAGGUUGAGGAUAGAGGAGAGUGGAUACAGAGGCGAUGGUCGGAGGCUUCACGAUGGUGUUCGCCAGAGUUCGCGGCGGUGCUGCCAUGAACUUUUUCCAAAAUCAAUUUUUUUACACUGA